UACAGAGGUCUCAAGCGUUGUUCGGAUUCAUUGGGCGUAAAGGGUGCGUAGGCGGCGCGGUAAGUCGGAUGUGAAAUCUCGGAGCUUAACUUCGAAACUGCAUUCGAUACUGCCGUGCUUGAGGACUGGAGAGGAGACUGGAAUUUACGGUGUAGCGGUGAAAUGCGUAGAUAUCGUAAGGAAGACCAGUGGCGAAGGCGGGUCUCUGGACAGUUCCUGACACUGAGACACGAAGGCCAGGGGAGCAAACGGGG
rnacentral:rRNA from 1 species